AGAACGAACGCUGGCGGCGUGGAUAAGACAUGCAAGUCGAACGCGACUUAUUUUGUUAGCAAUAACAGAGUAAGUUGAGUGGCGAAAGGGUGCGUAACACGUGGGAAUUUACCAAGAAGUGGGGAAUAGCUCGACGAAAGUCGAAUUAAUACCGCAUACGAUCGCAAGAUCAAAGCCGGGGACCGCAAGGCCUGGCGCUUUUUGAGAAGCCCGCGGCCCAUCAGCUAGUUGGCGGGGUAAAAGCCCACCAAGGCUAUGACGGGUAGCUGGUCUGAGAGGACGACCAGCCACACUGGAACUGAGACACGGUCCAGACACCUACGGGUGGCAGCAGUCGAGAAUUUUUUCACAAUGGACGAAAGUCUGAUGGAGCGACGCCGCGUGGAGGAUGAAGGUUCUUGGAUUGUAAACUCCUGUCACUGCAGAACAAGGAUACGUUUGUGAAUAGCACGCGUAUUUGAUGGUAUGCGGAGAGGAAGGGACGGCUAACUCUGUG
rnacentral:rRNA from 1 species